GGGUCCGUCACGGUUUCGACAGGUUGGCGAACGCUACUCUGUGAUUCAGGUCGAGAGUGAGUCUCCUCUCGCAAAUCAAAGGCUCAAAACAAAAGUAAAUGCGAAUAACAUCGUUAACUUUGCUCGUAAGCCUGCUCUAGUAGCAGCUGCCUAAAAACCUCUUACAGGUUCGAGCGUCUCUGGUUUGACUCCGUUAAGGACUAGAGACCAACCCCCAACGGAAGCUCUAACAAGUGUUCUCUGGUUGGCUUGUUAGCUAAGACUUAAUCAGAGCAUCCUACGUUCGGGAUAAUGAACGAUUCCCGCCUUGAGGGUUAGAAAGGCUAAACCUGUGAACGAACGGGGUGUAAAUACCCAAUUUGGACAGCAGUUCGACUCUGCUCGGAUCCACUU
rfam:Nodularia spumigena CCY9414 genome.